UACGUAGGGUGCAAGCGUUGUCCGGAAUUAUUGGGCGUAAGAGCUCGUAGGCGGUUUGUCGCGUCUGCUGUGAAAACUGGGGGCUCAACCCCCAGCCUGCAGUGGGUACGGGCAGACUAGAGUGCGGUAGGGGAGACUGGAAUUCCUGGUGUAGCGGUGAAAUGCGCAGAUAUCAGGAGGAACACCGAUGGCGAAGGCAGGUCUCUGGGCAUUAACUGACGCUGAGGAGCGAAAGCAUGGGGAGCGAACAGG
rnacentral:rRNA from 1 species